rnacentral:snRNA from 1 species
GUGCUCGCUUCGGCAGCACAUAUACUAAAAUUGGAACAAUACAGAGACGAUAGCAUGACCCUUGUUGCAAAGGUGACAUGCAAUUUUGUGAAGAACAAUCCAUAAAA